AACGCAUAUUGCGCUCUUUGGUAUUCCGAAGAGCAUGCUUGUUUGAGUAUCAGUAAACACCUCAAAGCCUUUGAUUUUUUUUAAGUAAGAAAUCAAAAGCUUUGGACUUGAGCAAUCCCAACGCCAAUCUUCUCGAUCGGCGGAGGGUUGCUUGAAAUGCAGGUGCAGCUGGACAUUCUCCUGAGCUAUAAGCAUAUUUAUUUAGUCCCGUCAAACGGAUUAUUACUUUUGCUGCAGCUAACAUAAAGGGGGUUUGACCGUAUUGGCUGACUGAUGCAGGAUUUAACAAGGGGGUUGGUAACGACUCCCUUGUCAAACUCGAUCUCAAAUCAAGUAAGACUACCCGCUGAACUUAA
rnacentral:misc_RNA from 1 species